UAGAAUUUCCUGAGUACAAUAAGCAUGUCUACUAAGAGAAAUAAGGAGAGUUACAAGUAAACGUGCUUUACAAAAGUUUGAGAGCCUAAAGAUUCGGAAAAGUAUCAGAUAGUCUAACAUUGUAAAAACCACUGCUACCACAGAAUUUCAAUCUAGCCCAAUUAAUUUUGGGUAAGGUGAUGCUACUUCUAAGACCUCACGACGAUCCUUUUUGAAUUCCAAAUUAACCCUAAAGCUGUACGGG
rnacentral:lncRNA from 1 species